CCCUUAGAUGUUCUGGGCCGCACGCGCGCUACACUGAUGCAUUCAACGAGUUUCUUCCUGGUCCGAGAGGAAUGGGUAACCUUUUGAAAGUGCAUCGUGAUAGGGAUAGACUAUUGCAAUUAUUGGUCUUCAACGAGGAAUUCCUAGUAGACGUAGUUCAUCAGACUGCAUCGAUUACGUCCCUGCCCUUUGUACACACCGCCCGUCGCUCCUACCGAUUGAAUGCUCAGGUGAGCCAUUCGGACUUUCAUCAUGCUGGUUUCCAGUUUUGAUGAAGGAAAGUCUUGCGAACCUUACCAUUUAGAGGAAGGAGAAGUCGUAACA
rnacentral:rRNA from 1 species